UAACACCUUGUUCGUUGGUGAAAAAGUGCAAAUUUAUCCGAAUUGUGCUGCUAAAACAAAGUUCUUGAUAUGAGCUACCUAUAAUCAUCUAGCGCGGCUUAUAUAAUUUUUUGACAGUAAGACUCAUGGCACAGAAUAGAUCUAAUACCUCUGUUUGGACAAGAAGCAAUAGAGAAUUAAUUUGCUAGAUUUGAAAAGCACAACCCGGUAUUUUAGUGUUUGGUGAAUUGAUAGCAUCAUCACAAACACCAUACAGAUAGAGGUUUUUUGUCUAAUUAGUCAAUUAACAACAUACAUGAACAGAUACACUGGGUGAAGUAUGUGUGCAUCACCCCUCUAUCUAAUACUCAUCGCAAGCACCAAAAUAAAUUAUCUUAGUUUUGUACAGAAAUCCCAACUGAUGAAGCGAGGAUAAAUUCCAAAAGCCAGUGUUGGCAGGAACUCCUAAACCACUAACCUGAAAAAAGCAUAUUCAUAUAGAGAUGAGAGCCUGGCAGGAACUCCUAAACCACUAACCUGAAAAAAGCAUAUUCAUAUAGAGAUGAGAGCCGAAAAACCCUUGGUCAAAAUCAGUAGCAAAACUGUACAAGUACCUCUUUUCCAACGUAAUAACACAACCAUCACCUUUUGGAAUUGAUAAAUAACGCAUGCAAGAUUUCACAUUUGGAAAGGACCAUUGGCCUAACACAGGUUGAUUUUGUGCAUCUUAGUCUUCCUAUAAUAGCUAAAAAAGGGUCAAAUGUUGAUCUAUCGCUGCGAAAGGAACGUGGUUCUUCUAUGAUACUCAAAAACUCAAGACCUCAGUUGUGGCUAUCCACAAAUAAUAAGUUUUGGGCCAUAAAUAAAUAGAAUGUAGUGUUUAUCAUGUGAAAUGGCAAGUGGAAGUUCUUUAUAUUGAAAGUCGGG
rnacentral:lncRNA from 1 species